AGUGAACGCUGGCGGUAGGCCUAACACAUGCAAGUCGAACGAAAGCACAGUAAGAGUUUGCCCCUAAGGGUGGCGAGUGGCGGACGGGUGAGGAAUACAUAGGAAUCUAAUUUUUCGUGGGGGAUAACGUAGGGAAACUGACGCUAAUACCGAAUACGACCUACGGGUGAAAGCAGGAGAUAUUCGGACCUUGCGCGAUUCAAUGAGCUGAUGUCGGAUUAGCUAGUUGGCGGGGUAAAGGCCCACCAAGGCAACGAUGCGUAGCUGGUCUGAGAGGAUGAUCAGCCACACUGGAACUGAGACACGGUCCAGACUCCUACGGGAGGCAGCAGUGGGGAAUAUUGGGCAAUGGGCGAAAGCCUGAUCCAGCCAUGCCGCGUGGGUGAAGAAGGUCUUCGGGUUGUAAAGCCCUGUUAUUGGGAAAGAAAAGCAGCAGAUUAAUACCCCGCUGUUCUGACGGUACCCAAAGAGUAAGCACCGGCUAACUUCGUG
rnacentral:rRNA from 1 species